AAAUAAGGCUUCUGUCAUGAGUGGCACAUAUAGGGUAACUUGACUGCUCUUCAUGCAGAACUGACAUCAAGGGAUUUCAGAAGUAUGUUUUGGUAAAUGGGCAGCUGGUGAUCUUUAAUCCCUAUACACUU